GGAGGUGGGCUGUGGCUCAGUGUUAAGAGCAUCUGCUUAGCAUGCAGAAUAUCGUAGGUUCAAACCCGAGCACCUCCG
rnacentral:tRNA from 1 species